rnacentral:lncRNA from 1 species
CUCAGGGUUUUUCCAGAGGAGACUCCACAGCUCUUUGCUGAUUUGUUUCAUUUCUUUUUAAACCCUAUUUGUACACCACAAUGAGCCCAUUAGAGCCCAGGUGGUCUGGGCUUGGAACUCGGAACACAAAAUGUGAUAGAACAGGAAAUAAAAGAAAUGAAACGAAGAUUUCAAAGCCCAUCUGUGCACACCAGUGGGAAGAUUUCAAAGCCCAUCUGUGCACACCAGUGGGAAGAUUUCAAAGCCCAUCUGUGCACACCAGUGGGAAGGAGCUUGCUUGCCCUUCGUUCCCCUCCAACUCCUGCUUUCUGCAGAGGAGGAAGCCUGAAGACUACAGGUCUAGCUCCCAGCUCUCAUUUGUUGGAGAACAAAGACUGCCUUCAGAGAUCAGCAGGGACAGACCAGCUGGAGCUCCCUCAUCUAAGGCUUCCAUCCCGGAGAGGGUGCUCUCUCAAGUCAUCCUCCAGGACUGAUUAGAAGCUGCAGGAAGAGGGCAGCUCAGUCCCUCUCCAGCAUCUUAGACUCUGGACUUGAGCUGUGGACAGGAGCUCUUUCCAGCCUCAGAGACCUGCCGCACUGGUUCAUUUAAAUCCCGUGUGAUGAUUCGUUUUAACUUGUUGGGUCCAGUUAAGGUGGUUAAUUCUGAACUGACAGCACAGAUUGGCCCGGAAGUCAGUGUGUAACCAAGAGUAGUUGAGAGUGACCCUGAGCUUUGAUUCUUCUCCCUCAACCUCGUGAAUCCUGUGGUUAGAGGUGUGGACCACCACAGUCAGCUUUGUGGGAUGCUGGAGAUUGUGCAUACCUGCUUCAGGCUAUGACAGAGCAAAAAGGCUCAGUACCCAAAAUACCGGUCACAAGUCCCUUCUGGUCGGUGCCAGCACUGGGUCACCUUGGGCACGGAGUCGGCGGACACCAUCAAGGACCCAAGAGGACUCUUCAUGUGAUCUUAGGACCACCGGUGAGUGGAACACAACUUUUGUUCCAUUCCAAUCUAGCGGGACCAGCAUUAGGGAAGCAGAAAACACAGCCUGACCAGGUCACAAGUCCCUUCUGGUCAGCGUCAGCAUCAGGUCACCUUGGGCUCAGAGUCGGCAGACCCUCCCACCCUCCAAGGUCCCUGGAGGACUCUGCACAUGAUCUUAGGACCACUAAUGAGUGGAACACAACUUCUGUUCCAUUUCAAUCAUGAGGGACCUGAGACAGCAUUAGGGAAGCACCUUGGACACAGAGUCAUGGAC